rnacentral:tRNA from 1 species
GAAAAGUUAUUUUAAAAAAAAUUAUAGUCUUGGAGAUUAUCGAUCCUUAAGUUAGGACUUUUCA